AUGAGUACUACAUUCUUUGACAAUUAUAUGGCAGCUGAAGAAGUAGGGGCAUUGAGGAAUGAAGGAUACCUCCAAAUUUUUAUAUUAAUAGGUACUGUCAUUUUUGUACUCCUCAAUACUAUAUUUAGAGAUGAAAAAAUAAAAAAUAUUGAGGAUAAAAUAAAACAAAAUGAGGAUAAAAUAAAACAAAAUGAGGAUAAAAUAAAACAAAAUGAGGAUAAAAUAAAACAAAAUGAGGAUAAAAUAGAAAAUAUUGAGGAUAAAAUAGAAAAUGUUGAGGAUAAAAUAGAAAAAAAUGAGGAUAAAAUAGAAAAUAUUGAGGAUAAAAUAGAAAAUAUUGAGGAUAAAAUAGAAAAAAUUGAGGAUACAAUAGAAAAAAUUGAGGAUACAAUAGAAAAAAUUGAGGAUAAAAUAGGAAAUAUUGAGAAUAAAAUAGAAAAACUUGAGGAUAAAAUAGGAAAUAUUGAGAAUAAAAUAGGAAAUAUUGAGGAUAAAAUGGGAGAUAUGGAAGAUAAAAUAGGAAAAAUUGAGGAAAAAAUGCAAGCCCAAUUAGAAGAUCUAAAAUGUUUCUUACAGGAUCAAUGGGCAAACACCCACUCUACCAGAAACAGACCUGUUUCUGAACCUUUGAAUGAGGAAAUUUCCUUCCCUGAAAUAGAGAUGGAAAACACCUUCCCUAUAGCCCAGUUAACAGACUGCUUCUCUCGUGCAGUGCAAAUCUUGUCUGAAUUUAAUCCCCAAAACCCUUCCCCUGCAAUCCCAGCUUCUCAUGUUCCUUCUCCUACAGAAAACCAAAUUCCAAUGCAAGGGAGAUCUUGUCCUCCUAGAGAAACCUGUCCUUGUCAAACUGACCCACAGGUGCAAAAUUCAACUAGAGGCCUGUUUCCUCUAAGAGAAGUACCUGAAAUAGGACGAAAUGGGGAUGUGGUGACUUUAAGACAUAGGAUACCGUUUACUCCCCAAGAAAUAAAUGAAUUUACACGAAAUAUCCCCACAUAUGAACAAGAUCCUUUUCUAGUAACAAAAAAGAUGGGAGACAUAUUUUUUUCAAUAUAA
rnacentral:lncRNA from 1 species